rnacentral:rRNA from 1 species
AAUAUUGGACAAUGGGCGAAAGCCUGAUCCAGCCAUGCCGCGUGUGUGAAGAAGGUCUUCGGAUUGUAAAGCACUCUAAGUUGGGAGGAAGGGCCUUAGGCUAAUACCCUGAAGUCUUGACGUUACUAACAGCAUAAGCACCGGCUAACUCUGUGCCAGCCGCCGCGGUAAUACAGAGGGUGCAAGCGUUAAUCGGAAUUACUGGGCGUAAAGCGCGCGUAGGUGGUUUGAUAAGUUGGAUGUGAAAGCCCCGGGCUCAACCUUGGAAUUGCAUCCAAAACUGUCUGACUAGAGUAUGGCAGAGGGUGGUGGAAUUUCCUGUGUAGCGGUGAAAUGCGUAGAUAUAGGAAGGAACACCAGUGGCGAAGGCGACUACCUGGACUGAUACUGACACUGAGGUGCGAAAGCGUGGGGAGCAAACAGG